UCUAGACACACAACCCUGCCCCCGGCCCCCAGAGGGCUGGCUCAGGCAUGAACACUUAAAUCAGGCCGUACCGAUUGGUGCUUGGUGACAGACGCUGGAGAGAGGAAACUCAGAGGCUCUGCAAAGACCAUCUUCCCUCCAACCGCAGGUGACACAGAAGACGGGUCUGUGGAAAGAAGCAGAGGCAGGAACAGAGGCAGCCUGUGACAGAGACAGACAGGAAAUCGUUUCCUGCAUUCUUGGCAUCUUCCAGGCUUGGUUCCUACCUCUCCAGAGGCCCAAUUGUUUGAUUUCACCUUUGAUUCCAAGGAAGCACCCAAUUUCCUGCUAAUAAAUUUCAUGGACUUGUUUGAAGUUGACUUCUGUCACUUUUGACAGAAAGUGUCCUGACAGUCCCAGCUGAGGAGGAUGUUUUCAUCAUAGCUGCCUUUGCAAAUAAAAAGCAGGGAUAGCAGGACACUUGACUCUCUCUUGUGUCAGUCGGUCGAGACUAACGAGAUCCAAGAUCCCGGAGAGGCCCACCCAACACCACGGCUGCAUCCUCUGGUUCCAUGGCGGUUGCCUGAAGGCAGGUGCACGGAACACCGGGUUCGAACUUUUGUUCUGCCGCCUGCUUCCUGGCUUCAGUGUCUUCCGACCUCCUCGGGUCCCCUUUUUCUUUACUUACCGGAUGGGGAUAAACAAUAGCAGCUACCCAGGAUC